rnacentral:rRNA from 1 species
GGGACUGCUAAUACCGCAUGAUUUUCAGCGUUUUAGAAAGGCUGAAAUAAACUUCUGGGGCUGAGGGAGGGAGCUGCGGCCCAUCAGGUAGUUGGUGAGGUAGUGGCUCACCAAGCCGACGACGGGUAGGGGGCCUGAGAGGGUGGUCCCCCACACUGGAACUGACAAACGGUCCAGACUCCUACGGGAGGCAGCAGUAAGGGAUAUUGCGCAAUGGGCGAAAGCCUGACGCAGCAACGCCGCGUGGAGGAAGAAGGCCUUCGGGUCGUAAACUCCUUUUGUCGGGGACGAGGAAGGACGGUACCUGGCGAAGAGGUCACGGCUAACUACGUGCCAGCAGCCGCGGUAAAACGUAGGUGGCGAGCGUUAUCCGGAUUUACUGGGCGUAAGGCGUGUGCAGAUGGGUCAGCAAGUGGUGUAUGAAAUCGCCCGGCUUAACCGGGCGCGGUUAUGCCAGACUGCUGGUCUAGAGAACGGGAGAGGGACGUGGAAUUCCGGGUGUAGUGGUGAAAUGCGUAGAGAUCCGGAGGAACCCCUGAGGCGAAGGCGGCGUCCUGGCCCGGUUCUGACAUUCAGACACGACAGCAUGGGGAGCAACGAGAUUAGAAACCCCGGUAGUCCAUGCCGUAAACGAUGUCAACUAGGCGCUGGGGGACUCAACCCCCUCGGUGCCGCAGCUAACGCGAUAAGUUGACCGCCUGGGGAGUACGGUCGCAAGGCUAAAACUCAAAGGAAUUGACGGGGGCCCGCACAAGCAGCGGAGCGUGUGGUUUAAUUCGAGCCUACACGAAGAACCUUACCUGGGGUUGACAUGGCGCCUUAGGGAAGCGAAAGCGGACCGACCCGCAAGGGAGGCGUCACAGGUGCUGCAUGGCUGUCGUCAGCUCGUGCCGUGAGGUGUUAGGUUAAGUCCUGUAACGAGCGCAACCCUCGGAUCUAGUUACACGAUGUCUAGAUCAACUGCCCGUGACAAGCGGGAGGAAGGUGGGGAUGACGUCAAGUCAGCAUGGCCUUUAUCUCCAGGGCUACACACACGCUACAAUGGCCGGUACAAUGGGUCGCCAAGGGGUAACCCGGAGCCAAUCCAAGCAAAGCCGGUCACAGUUCGGAUUGAGGGCUGCAACCCGCCCUCAUGAAGUCGGAGUUGCUAGUAAACGCGCAUCAGCCAUGGCGCGUUGAAUACGUUCCCGGGCCUUGUACACACCGCCCGUCACGUCAUGGGAGCUGGUCGAGCCUGAAGCC